CACGUAGGGGGCGAGCGUUGUCCGGAAUUACUAGGCGUAAAGGGCAGGCAGGCGGAUCCAUAAGUUUAUCGUUUAAGGCGUCGGCUUAACCGGCGUAGGGCGGUAGAUACUGUGGAUCUGGAAUGCGGUUGGGGAAGACAGAAUUCCUGGUGUAGCGGUGGAAUGCGCAGAGAUCAGGAGGAAUACCGAAGGCGAAGGCAGGUCUCUGGGCCACUACUGACGCUGAGAAGCGAAAGCAUGGGGAGCGAACAGGAUUAGAUACCCCCGUAGUCCCUGA
rnacentral:rRNA from 1 species